GCUAUCUUCAUAACACUGCCACUGAGGACUUUUCACACUGCUGGCUGUCAAACAGCACCUCCUGUCGGUAACAUGGUGAAGUGACACAAGAAUGCUGUGACGCAAGCGCGCUCCUCCCUUGAACAGGGAAACAACAAAACUUAAAACCUCACUUUGGCAGACAUUGUGAAAUCGUUUGAAGGGAGCACAUCGUUAUUGUGUCGUCAUCCCAAAUCCUGCUGGCUCCAGGCCCCUGCAAAUCUCAACAGGAUGAGCAGUACCAUCAAAUAAAAGGAUGGAACAUGUUUAA